rnacentral:tRNA from 1 species
UGUCGAGAUGGCCGAGUUGGUCUAAGGCGUCAGAUUAAGGUUCUGGUCCGAAAGGGCGUGGGUUCAAAUCCCACUCUCGACAAUAUUACUUC